rnacentral:sRNA from 1 species
AGUGUUUGUUCAUUGAAGCUAUGAAGAGGACCACAAAAGGACAGGGAAAUAUGCAUAUUGACUGCAGUCCACCCAGUGACCUGAAGAUUAGCAUGUAUGAGCAGUGGUCACUCUGGACUGGACUCUAACGAAGCAUUGUUUCCUGGGUGAAACAAUGGAAAUAAAGGAGAAGCCAUCAGCAGAAAAGCACAGGUCAACCUAAUAUGCUGGCCAAUAUACUGCAGUUCCCAGAUGUUUUGAUUGAGAAGCACUCAAAUCACUACUACUUUGCCAAAUAAUAAAACAGCCUCUGAUUUUGGAAAGAUUCAUCCUGCACAUGUUAGAUUUCCUUCUCUGUGGUCUACUAGCAAGACCAACAUUCUAUAUGAAAUAAGACAUGAUCAUGCCUCAAUCAACUCCACAGCAAACAGUGAGCUGUAUGUACUAAAUGUUAUUAGAACUCAAUAACCAUGGUAAGUUGGUAUGCCUCCCCCCUUUGAAAGAAGUCUAAAUAAUAAUCACUUAAGAGUGAGAAAGAAACAGUAGUGUGGAGUUCUAAUUAAAGUUUGAAGAGAUUCUUAACUUUCUUAAAGAUUAAUAGCAUGGCAGAACCUGCCUUUCAAAGGGGAUCAUUAAUUUUCUUUAAUUUACAGCUAAAUCUCAAAGUAUAUUUUAUUCAUAUUCGGAAAAGGAUAAAUGGAAGAUCAAAAAGCAAUAAUGCAGACCUCACCAGUGCCCAGCCCCCGAGGGAACCAUUGUACUGCAUUUUUUAUGUGAGCGACCUUUUCCUUUUAGUAUUCAUGAAAACUUAGCAAAUAAUCACACUGAAUCGAUUUCAGGGACAUAUAUCCUUUGCUCUCUGCCUAAACUUAAGUGUGGUUAUCUGACACUGGAAGGCUUUUCCAUUCCAUCUUUUGUAAAAGCAACUGAACUGAACGAGUAAAUGAGCAGCUCCUGGAAUCCCCAUCCCAGAGCACCACAGGCCUUGCUAUUCAUCUUCCCUCAUUCACACAACACUUGCGCUGUUUCAAAGUGAGCUCUGGGGCUAUGGAGGAAACUUCAAGUGAAAUGAACAGAAACCACUUCACUUGUUAGACAAGUGGAUAUUUAAGGUGCUGAAAAACAGAAAGUUAAUAGAAGGUAUCAUUCGCUCUCAGUAAAUCACUUUUAAGUUUAACAUCUUAAAAGGGCCUAUCAGGUAUCUUGGCCUGUGUAACCUUAUAUCAUUCAUGAGUUUCAUUAUGACUCACUGACUGAGAAAGACAAUGCUUUACAAUGCAAGAUUGAAUAGCAGCUAUUUAUUUUCACUUUAUAAGACAGACAGUUAGGACAUAACUUGUUCAAAGGAAAGCAAAAGGCACUCAAAUGUCAUAGGCUAAAGAUAAGCCAGCUGGCACUAUCAAGCACACCAGGCAGGCUACAAUUUAUAAUUCAAAUGUUGGAACGUUUAUCAUUAGAAUGUCCAACUUCCUGGAGCAAACAUUUAUUGUUUGCCAGUGAGAGAAGCCAAAAUGCUACUACAUUGCACAAAGGGGUUGCAAAAGGAUAAAAGGCUAAACAACCCAUCUUCCCCAAACUCUCCAUUUGUCAGCAGUGGCUAGAGGGAGAAGCUACUUGUGAGUCCAGGUGAUAUGCUGUAAUUUGUAGUAUUUCCCCCAUAGCCAAUAGGCCUAGAUAUCCAGUCAUGGCAUUCUUUCCU